AUUCUUUCGCAGAGGCAAUAUUGUAGCUUAUGAGGUACAUUCGAGGCAUGAUUAUUGCCGGUUGAAAAUUUUACCCAAUACCCCACCAGGAUGAUUUGAAAUACAGUCAGCCUUGGCAAUUUUUGCAAGCUUCUCUGGAAG
rnacentral:snRNA from 1 species